GCCUUCAUGGUGUAGUGGUCAGCACGCUCGAUGCGUGAGCGAGAGGUUCGUGGUUCGAUUCCCGGCUUAGGCG
rnacentral:tRNA from 1 species